AGGAGGAACAGCCCCAGUGGCGGGGCAGCUCUGGAAACCUGGAUUCAGCUCCGGCAGGAACUCCGUCUGCGGGGCCUGGAGGCUCCGGGGCGGG
rfam:Canis lupus familiaris chromosome 17, whole genome shotgun sequence.